rnacentral:rRNA from 1 species
UGGGGAAUAUUGGACAAUGGGGGCAACCCUGAUCCAGCAAUGCCGCGUGUGUGAAGAAGGUCUUCGGAUUGUAAAGCACUUUCGACGGGGACGAUGAUGACGGUACCCGUAGAAGAAGCCCCGGCUAACUUCGUGCCAGCAGCCGCGGUAAUACGAAGGGGGCUAGCGUUGCUCGGAAUGACUGGGCGUAAAGGGCGUGUAGGCGGUUUACACAGUCAGAUGUGAAAUCCCCGGGCUUAACCCGGACUG